ACAGAAUCCUUAACCUUUUUCUUGGUUAAGGGAUAUGGGCAUUCCGCGAUUAGCGGUGACCUAAAAUAUAUGGUUAGUCUCAUCGAGUUGAGAUGCGUAAUAAUUAUUAUUUCGCAAAACCAUUUGAUGAGCUACCAAGUUUUGACUCGUUCAACCAGGUUAAAACAAAUAUUUUUUG
rnacentral:misc_RNA from 1 species